rnacentral:rRNA from 1 species
AUGUCUCCUUGGAUGUAUAUUUAUAGGGAGUCGAACCUGCCCAGUGACUAAGAUGUUAAACGGCCGCGGUACCCUAACCGUGCAAAGGUAGCAUAAUCAUUUGCCUUUUAAUUGGAGGCUUGUAUGAAUGGUUUGACGAGAGCUAUGCUGUCUCUUUUAAAAUAAUUAGAAAUUAACUUUUAGGUGAAGAGGCCUAAAUGAAGCUGAGGGACAAGAAGACCCUAUUGAGCUUUAGUAUAUCUGAGUUAAGUGAUUUUGGUUUUGUUUUCAUUUAUGAAAUAUUUUAAUUCAGGGAUUCUUUAGUUGGGGCGACUGAGGAACAUAAAAAGCUUCCUUGUGAGUUUUAUAAUGUAAUUUAUUUAUAUUGAUGAAUUAGUUUGAUCCGGCUUUUGUCGAUUAAGAGAAAAAGUUACCAUAGGGAUAACAGCGUAAUCUUUCUGGAGAGAUCAUAUCGAAAGAAGGGUUUGCGACCUCGAUGUUGGACUAAGAUAUCCUAAAGGUGUAGAAGCUUUUAAGGGUUGGUCUGUUCGACCAUUAAAAUCUUACGUGAUCUGU